AAUGGGCAUGUGAUGAAUCUCAUCAUCAAAUGGGUAAUUUGCGUCUGAAUUUUUUUGAUGCUGUAUCACCUUGGAGAACUGAUGCCCACA
rfam:Glycine max cultivar Williams 82 chromosome 5, whole genome shotgun sequence.